AGUGAACGCUGGCGGUAGGCCUAACACAUGCAAGUCGAACGGCAGCACAGUAAGAGCUUGCUCUUACGGGUGGCGAGUGGCGGACGGGUGAGGAAUACAUCGGAAUCUACUUUUUCGUGGGGGAUAACGUAGGGAAACUUACGCUAAUACCGCAUACGACCUACGGGUGAAAGCAGGGGAUCUUCGGACCUUGCGUGAUUGAAUGAGCCGAUGUCGGAUUAGCUAGUUGGCGGGGUAAAGGCCCACCAAGGCGACGAUCCGUAGCUGGUCUGAGAGGAUGAUCAGCCACACUGGAACUGAGACACGGUCCAGACUCCUACGGGAGGCAGCAGUGGGGAAUAUUGGACAAUGGGCGCAAGCCUGAUCCAGCCAUACCGCGUGGGUGAGGAAGGCCUUCGGGUUGUAAAGCCCUUUUGUUGGGAAAGAAAAGCAGCAGGUUAAUACCCCGCUGUUCUGACGGUACCCAAAGAAUAAGCACCGGCUAACUUCGUG
rnacentral:rRNA from 1 species